GGGCGGCUAGCUCAGUUGGUUAGAGCGUUGCUUUCACACGGCAGAGGUCACAGGUCCGAAUCCCGUGCCGCCCA
rnacentral:tRNA from 1 species